GGGGGGUAUUUAUUUGAUAAAGAACCAAAAUAAAUUGGGGAGUCAUAAUAACUUUAUGGGUCACACUUAUAUGUGACAUAUCAUUCAAGUUUUUGACACAUCAGCUUUUGACGGUAGGGUAUUGGCCUACCGUGGCAAAGACGGGUAAAAGGGAAAUAUGGUUUUAUUUUCGAGAGGGAGCCUGAGAAAAGGGUACCACAUCUUAGGGAGGGGGCAGGGGCGCAAAAUUUCCCAUCUUAAUACAGGGGGGGGGUGGCAAGAAAAAACAAUACAGGAGUUUUAAAAAUUUUUUAAAUUGAAAAAGUUUAGUAUAAAACCCCUUUCAAAUAUCAAAUUGGGGGGAAAUUUUGGGCCCGCAGCCGCGGGAAAUUCCCCUCCCAAAGGGUAUAUUAAAAAUGUUGCAGAUUAAAAAAUCGUAGUUGGAUUUUUGUUUAUAAUUUUUAUAUAAUAUUUUUUUAAUAUUUUUAUAGUAUUAACAUAAUUCUUAUUACUAUAUUUUAUAGUAUAUGAAAUUUUACUUUGAGAAAAUUAGAGUGCUUAAAGCAGGCAUUAGCCUUGAAUACUCCAGCAUGGAAUAAUAUAAAAGAUUUUUAUCUUUUUUAUUGGUUCUAAGAUAAAAAUAAUGAUUAAUAGGGACAGUUGGGGGCAUUUGUAUUUAACAGUCAGAGGUGAAAUUCUUAGAUUUGUUAAAGACAAACUAGUGCGAAAGCAUUUGCCAAGGAUGUUUUCAUUAAUCAAGAACGAAAGUUAGGGGAUCGAAGACGAUCAGAUACCGUGCGUAGUGUAAGCCCUUAAA
rnacentral:rRNA from 1 species